UUACAAAAACUGGUUUUUAUCGAAUAAUUAUUUCGUUAUAUAGAAACAUCAGAUUCGUUAUUUGGAGAUAAAACGUGUAAUUAAAUGUGUAAUUAACAAUGAAGGUCAUAGUUCUUAAAAAUAUUUCGUUAAAUGGAAGUUUCACUGUAUUAGAAUUACAUAUACACAAUGCGAAUUCCAUUAUUUCAGUAGAAUGAACAAAAUGCCGUUAUAAAAAUA